GCUAACGCGUGAAGGCGAGCACUCUAGACGAACUGCCGUUGACAAACGGAGGAGUGGGAUGACGUCAAAUCAUCAUGCCCUUAUGUUCUGGGCUACACACGUGCUACAAUGGCCGGUACAGACGGACGCAAAGCCGCGAGGUGGAGCAAAUCCUAAAAAGCCGGUCUCAGUUCGGAUUGCAGGCUGCAAUUCGCCUGCAUGAAGUCGGAAUCGCUAGUAAUCGCAGGUCAGCAUACUGCGGUGAAUACGUUCCCGGGCCUU
rnacentral:rRNA from 1 species